UUCUCGUCGUCAUCUUCUGAUGAACUCUAAUCAUCCAAUCGUCGACCUUCUCAGCCUUGCUUCAGUCAUUAACCAUAAAAACCAGAAUUUUUUUCACACAAAAGGUUUAUAUAGUGGGUUUCUGAAACUCCAUUCGCAACAGAGUUGGUUCUGCGAACUCCACAGUCGUCCCUUUUGAAUUCUACUCUGUUAUUACAUGCUCUUAAGCAUCUCCGAAGUCCGAACCGAAGAUUCAUCAAUCGAGGUGAGGAUUGGGCUUCAAGGAAAUGGCGGCUGGAGCAGUCCCUUCUUCAAUUUGUGGACUCAAAAGCACGGAUCAUGGUUUGAGCUUUAGGAAAAGUGUGGACUUCAUAAAGGUUUCUGAUUUGCGGAGAGUCAGAGCUCCAAGGAGUAAGGUUCUGGUGAUCACCAACGUUAAACCUGGUCCAGAAAUUGCUGAAAUGCAACCUGCUUCGGAAGGAAGCCCCCUCUUAGUUCCCAGGCAAAAGUACUGUGAAGAUGUGCACAAGACUGUCAGGAGGAAAACUCGCACGGUUAUGGUCGGAAAUGUUGCUCUUGGUAGUGAACACCCUAUAAGAAUUCAGACAAUGACUACAACUGACACAAAGGAUGUUGCUGAAACAGUUGAACAGGUGAUGAGAAUUGCUGACAAGGGAGCAGAUAUCGUUCGGAUUACAGUUCAAGGGAGGAAAGAAGCGGAUGCUUGUUUUGAAAUAAAGAACACUCUUGUUCAAAAGAACUACAAUAUUCCUUUGGUAGCGGAUAUUCAUUUUGCACCUAGUGUUGCACUGAAAGUUUCUGAAUGUUUUGACAAGAUCCGUGUCAACCCCGGAAAUUUCGCUGAUAGGCGAGCCCAGUUUGAGAAGUUAGAGUACACGGAAGAGGACUAUCAAAAGGAGCUUGAGCACAUUGAGAAGGUCUUCACUCCAUUAGUUGAGAAGUGCAAGAAAUAUGGAAGGGCAAUGCGAAUUGGAACAAACCAUGGAAGCCUUUCUGAUCGUAUCAUGAGCUACUUUGGGGAUUCUCCCAGGGGAAUGGUUGAAUCUGCAUUUGAAUUUGCAAGGAUUUGCAGGAAGUUGGAUUAUCAUAAUUUCGUAUUCUCUAUGAAAGCAAGUAACCCAGUAAUUAUGGUCCAAGCAUACCGCCUACUUGUAGCAGAAAUGUACGUCCAAGGGUGGGAUUAUCCUCUUCACUUGGGAGUUACAGAAGCUGGUGAAGGUGAAGAUGGACGUAUGAAAUCUGCAAUUGGCAUCGGGACACUUCUUCAGGAUGGUUUGGGUGAUACAAUCAGGGUUUCCCUCACAGAACCACCAGAGGAAGAGAUAGAUCCUUGCAGAAGGUUGGCAAACCUUGGUAUGGAAGCAUCAGAUCUUCAGCUAGGGGUGGUACCAUUUGAAGAGAAACACAGACAUUAUUUUGAUUUCCAGCGUCGAACUGGUCAAUUACCUGUUCAGAAGGAGGGUGAAGAGGUGGAUUAUAGAGGGGUGCUGCACCGAGAUGGAUCUGUUCUCAUGUCUGUGUCCCUGGAUCAGUUGAAGAGUCCUGAAAUCGUAUACAAAUCACUUGCGGCGAAGCUUGUGGUUGGCAUGCCAUUCAAGGAUCUGGCAACAGUGGACUCAAUUCUUCUGAGAGAACUUCCUCCAGUGCAAGAUAGCGAAGCUCGGCUAGCUCUCAAGAGGUUGAUUGACAUUAGUAUGGGGGUGUUGACUCCUCUUUCCGAGCAGCUAACGAAGCCAUUGCCAAAUGCAUUGGUCCUUGUAAAUCUCAAGGAACUGGCAACUGGUGCUUACAAGCUUUUGCCAGAAGGCACACGCUUAGCUGUAUCCGUCUGUGGGGAUGAACCCUAUGAUGAUUUGGAUAUCCUGAAAGACAUUGAUGCUGCGACGCUUCUACAUACUGUACCAUAUGGGGGAAAAAUCAGCAGGGUACAUGCUGCUAGGAGGUUAUUUGAGUAUUUAGAGAACAAUGCUCUGAACUUCCCUGUAAUUCACCACAUAGUGUUUCCCCAAGGAAUUCACAGAGACGACCUAGUCAUUGGUGCUGGCAGCACUGCCGGAGCUCUUCUAGUUGAUGGACUUGGGAAUGGAGUUUUAUUAGAAGCGCCAGAGCAGGAUGUGGAUUUUCCGAGGAACACGUCCUUCAAUUUAUUGCAAGGUUGCAGAAUGCGGAAUACAAAGACAGAGUAUGUCUCAUGCCCAUCCUGUGGGAGGACAUUGUUUGAUCUUCAAGAGAUAAGUGCUCAAAUAAGAGAAAAGACAUUACACCUGCCUGGUGUUUCGGUAAUCUUUGGAAAACAAUUGCAAUCAUGGGUUGCAUCGUGAAUGGACCUGGAGAAAUGGCUGAUGCAGAUUUUGGGUAUGUAGGCGGUGCUCCAGGAAAAAUUGACCUUUACGUUGGGAAGAAGGUGGUGAAGCGAGGAAUUGAUAUGGAACUUGCAACUGAUGCCUUAAUCCAGCUGAUAAAAGAUCAUGGCCGUUGGGUGGACCCACCAACAGAUGAAUAAGGUCUAACUGACUUGGUGAAAUAUGAAGUUUUGGGGGUAGUUCAUCUCUUCCUGUUACAAAUAUGCAUGGGCAACCCAUAGCAGAAGCUAUAUAUCUCCAAGUGUGAUCUAAGGAAAUAAAUGUUCACAUUGUGGUUCUCCCAUUUAAAUAUUGUGAUUCUCUCUAUGAUAAUUGAUAAAAGAAGUUAAAGUUUCCUAAA